rnacentral:rRNA from 1 species
UUUGUUUUUUAAUUAAAAACUAGARUGAAAGAUUUUACMUUUUAAUUUCUUUAUUAAAUAUAUCAUAUUAAUUUAUAUUAAAUAUAAAAAUAUAUUUAUAAAAUAAAAAGACGACAAGACCCUAUUAAAUUUUACUUAUUGUUUAGCUGGGGCAGCUUUUUAAAUAAAAUUUUAAAAAUUAUAUAUAUAUAUAUAUAAAUAUUAUUAUAAAAAUCUAAUAUAAUUAAAUUAAUCUAAUUACUAUAGGGAUAACAGCGUUAUAUUUUUUUCAAGCUCAUAUUUAAAAAAAUCAUUGCGACCUCGAUGUUGAAUUAUAUUUCUUUAUUAAUGCAACAAUUAURAAAGUAGGUCUGUUCGACCUUUAAA